GUUCACGUGAGAGCUUCCUGAGCAUGGAGGAGAAAUGGAUGGAGCAGCAGAGAGUUGCCAGAGGGGGAAAGCUGUAGGAAACUUGAAGGAGAAUGGUAUCUGUUCAAGCUGUGUGCAUGGGUCAGCGGGACUGAGGCAAAGGAGCUGGCUGGAGGCGUGCUGUGCUCCCAGAGCACAAGGAAGGGGACUGUGGGGCAGGAUCACACGGAAGGGAAAGAAGCAGAACGCCCCCUCCUGUUUGCACCUACUUGAACUGCCGCAGAGAGGCCAGGAGAGACAGCAAAAGCACCAACGAGCCCAUGGAAAGUGCAAUCCUCUCUCACCCAUCUCCAGGCCUGUUACCAUGUACAAGAGAGGAGUCUGGCAUCAUUCCAGGGCUAAAUUCACUGAAGAAAGAAAUACUGAGCAGGGGAAAGGGCGAAACAAGGAAGGAAGAGAUGUGACUUUUUCCAUCGUAGUGUAAAAGGGAAAUAAAAGUAUGAAAUACAAUGUGG